CCUACGGGAGGCAGCAGUGGGGAAUCUUGCACAAUGGAGGAAACUCUGAUGCAGCGAUGCCGCGUGAGUGAAGAAGGCCUUUGGGUUGUAAAGCUCUUUUGUAGGGGAAGAUAAUGACUGUACCCUAAGAAUAAGGUCCGGCUAACUUCGUGCCAGCAGCCGCGGUAAUACGAAGGGGCCUAGCGUAGUUCGGAAUUACUGGGCGUAAAGCGCGCGUAGGCCGUUGAGUUAGUUAAUUGUGAAAUCCCAAAGCUUAACUUUGGAACUGCAAUUAAAACUGCUCGACUAGAGUUUGAUAGAGGAAAGCGGAAUACAUAGUGUAGAGGUGAAAUUCGUAGAUAUUAUGUAGAACACCAGUUGCGAAGGCGGCUUUCUGGAUCAACACUGACGCUGAGGCGCGAAAGUAUGGGUAGCAAAGAGGAUUAGAUACCCUCGUAGUCCAUACCAUAAACGAUGAUUGCUAGAUGUUGGAAAUUUAUUUUCAGUAUCGCAACUAACGCAUUAAGCAAUCCGCCUGGGGAGUACGACCGCAAGGUUAAACUUAAAUGAAUUGACGG
rnacentral:rRNA from 1 species